rnacentral:rRNA from 1 species
CCGCCCAAGAGUUCAUAUCGACGGCGGUGUUUGGCACCUCGAUGUCGGCUCAUCACAUCCUGGGGCUGAAGUAGGUCCCAAGGGUAUGGCUGUUCGCCAUUUAAAGUGGUACGCGAGCUGGGUUUAGAACGUCGUGAGACAGUUCGGUCCCUAUCUGCCGUGGGCGCUGGAGAAUUGAGGGGGGCUGCUCCUAGUACGAGAGGACCGGAGUGGACGCAUCACUGGUGUUCGGGUUGUCAUGCCAAUGGCACUGCCCGGUAGCUAAAUGCGGAAGAGAUAAGUGCUGAAAGCAUCUAAGCACGAAACUUGCCCCGAGAUGAGUUCUCCCUGACUCCUUGAGAGUCCUGAA